GGUGGAAGAUUACUAAUGAGAGUGGCGAACGGGUGAGUAACGCGUGAGCAACCUGCCUAUGACAGUGGGAUAGCCUCGGGAAACCGGGAUUAAUACCGCAUAAAAUCGUAGAAACACAUGUUUCAACGGUCAAAGAUUUAUCGGUCAUAGAUGGGCUCGCGUCUGAUUAGCUAGUUGGUGAGAUAACAGCCCACCAAGGCGACGAUCAGUAGCCGGUCUGAGAGGAUGAACGGCCACAUUGGAACUGAGACACGGUCCAAACUCCUACGGGAGGCAGCAGUGGGGAAUAUUGCACAAUGGGGGAAACCCUGAUGCAGCGACGCCGCGUGAACGAAGAAGGUAUUCGUAUCGUAAAGUUCUGUCCUAUGGGAAGAUAAUGACAGU
rnacentral:rRNA from 1 species